rnacentral:rRNA from 1 species
AUUGAACGCUGGCGGCAGGCUUAACACAUGCAAGUCGAACGAAGUGGCGAACGGGUGAGUAAUACGUGGGUAAACUGCCCUCCUUUUUGGGAUAAGCCUUGGAAACGUGGUCUAAUACCGAAUAAAGGGGGAUGGGCUCGCGGCCUAUCAGCUUGUUGGUGGGGGGAUGGCCUAACAAGGCGGUGCCGGGUAGCCGGCCUGAGAGGGUGAACGGGCACAUUGGGACGGAGCGACGGCCUAGACUCGGAAGGGAUGAAGCAGUGGGUGAUAUUGCACAAGGGGCGAAAGACUGAUGCAGCGACGCCGAGUGGGGUUUGAAGGCUUUCGGGUUGUAAACCUCGUUCGCAAGCGAACGGGGAGGUGGAGAAGAAGCGCCUGCUAACUACGUGCCAGCAGCCGCGGUAAUAC